GCCUUUGUUGAUUAAUGGAAAAAUCGCCCACCGACAGUGAGUCUGUGACAAAGGACUUAGUGGGAGACGGAGGUUCGAAUCCUCCUGAGGGCC